rnacentral:rRNA from 1 species
GGCGCACGGGUGCGGAACACGUGUGCAACCUGCCUUUAUCUGGGGGAUAGCCUUUCGAAAGGAAGAUUAAUACCCCAUAAUAUAUUGAGUGGCAUCACUUGAUAUUGAAAACUCCGGUGGAUAGAGAUGGGCACGCGCAAGAUUAGAUAGUUGGUGAGGUAACGGCUCACCAAGUCAAUGAUCUUUAGGGGGCCUGAGAGGGUGAUCCCCCACACUGGUACUGAGACACGGACCAGACUCCUACGGGAGGCAGCAGUGAGGAAUAUUGGACAAUGGGUGAGAGCCUGAUCCAGCCAUCCCGCGUGAAGGACGACUGCCCUAUGGGUUGUAAACUUCUUUUAUACUGGGAUAAACCUACUUACGUGUAAGUAGCUGAAGGUACAGUAUGAAUAAGCACCGGCUAACUCCGUGCCAGCAGCCGCGGUAAUACGGAGGGUGCAAGCGUUAUCCGGAUUUAUUGGGUUUAAAGGGUCCGUAGGCGGACUCGUAAGUCAGUGGUGAAAUCUCAUAGCUUAACUAUGAAACUGCCAUUGAUACUGCGGGUCUUGAGUAAAGUAGAAGUGGCUGGAAUAAGUAGUGUAGCGGUGAAAUGCAUAGAUAUUACUUAGAACACCAAUUGCGAAGGCAGGUCACUAUGUUUUA